rnacentral:tRNA from 1 species
GCACUGGUGGUUGAGUGAUAGGAUUCUUGCCUUUCAUGCCGAAGGCCCAGGUUCAAUUCCUGGCCAAUGCA